UACGUAGGUGGCGAGCGUUGUCCGGAUUUACUGGGCGUAAAGGGAGCGUAGGCGGACUUUUAAGUGAGAUGUGAAAUACCCGAGCUCAACUUGGGUGCUGCAUUUCAAACUGGAAGUCUAGAGUGCAGGAGAGGAGAAUGGAAUCCUAGUGUAGCGGUGAAAUGCGUAGAGAUUAGGAAGAACACCAGUGGCGAAGGCAAUUCUCUGGACUGUAACUGACGCUGAGGCUCGAAAGCGUGGGGAGCAAACAGG
rnacentral:rRNA from 1 species